rnacentral:lncRNA from 1 species
GUCUCGAUCAUCCAGCCGCUUUAUUUUUCAAAGUAGAGCGUCUGGAUGACAAGUGAUAUAAAAAUGGUAAUUUAUGACAUUCGGAAUAGUAUCGGCCUUUUUAGUUUGUUGUUAGAGAUAAUGUCCAAGACGAAUAACCAAGAAGUUGGUUAUUGACUUCGGAAGAAAUGACAUUACGAUAAUAUUAUUGAAAAGCCCGAGUGUACCGAUUGUUAUUUAAAGCUAUUUAUAUAUUUUUGUGACGACAUACAAUUCAUGGAAAACACCAUACAGCAUGGCCGCGAAGGAAAACAUCAGCACAUCCAACCUUGGUAAGAUUCAAGUUAAUAUUAUAACAACACACACUGUUACAUAUAUUUCAAUGCAACCUGAUACACUGAGUAUUUAUAUUCUUUCAUGCAUGUCUGUGCUACGAACGAGUUUAUAAUUAUACAAUAAAUGUCAACUUGUGUGUUGACUGGGACCACUCGAACAGUCGUAUACGCUAUAAAUACAUUUUGUGGUUGAUGUGUAGUAUCUGUAACUUUAUGAAUACUUGAUUGAAAAGUGCUAUGACGCCGAAAGUUUCCUUCAUUUAGAACUGUUGUAUCUAUCUAAAUAAAGGAGUUUACAUCUUGAUAUGUGUAAAAGAAAAAAAAGGGG